UUCCCAUGAGCAGAUAUAGGACAAGCAGUAAGCCAAUACCACCCUUGUAGCGGAGCCUGGUGAACGUGCAAAAGAGACAGAACAUGGAAAGAGAGGGAGAGUGAAGCACAGAUACGAUGAUGGGAGAUGACAGAUUAAGAGGUAAAAGAUGGAGGUGCCAUGGCAGACAUCAUCUCUCUUUUCUCACCGGACACAGAGGAAACAAGAUGGAGAGCCUCAAAGGAAUUCAGCAGCAGCAGGAUCCAAGUCGAUCCCUCUUAUUUUGAGGCUGACCGUGAUGUAGGAGUUUGGAUUCCCCGCCCACCAAAUUGAUUGACAGCUGCAUAUUAACAUGUCUCCACAGCAGCACAUAUAGACAUAUCAACAAGACAGGACUUGCGCAAAGCAACUGGGAUUAAAAGAUCUGGUUGGCUCUCUGUGAUCAUCAAUCAUCAUUAAAUUUGCUCAAGAAUGA